AGAGUUUGAUCCUGGCUCAGGAUGAACGCUGGCGGCGUGCCUAAUACAUGCAAGUCGAACGAGGUGCUUUUGUAGCAAUACGAGGGUAUCCUAGUGGCGAACGGGUGAGUAACGCGUCGGUGACCUGCCCCAAAGUGUGGGAUAACAGUUCGAAAGGACUGCUAAUACCGCAUGUGGUCAUCGGAUUUAGAAACCGAUGUCUAAAGCAGUAAUGCGCUUUGGGAGGGACCUGCGUCCCAUCAGCUAGUUGGUGAGGUAACGGCUCACCAAGGCGACGACGGGUAGGGGACCUGAGAGGGUGGCCCCCCACAAUGGAACUGAAACACGGUCCAUACACCUACGGGUGGCAGCAGUAGGGAAUAUUGCACAAUGGGCGAAAGCCUGAUGCAGCAACGCCGCGUGCACGAAGAAGGUCUUCGGAUCGUAAAGUGCUUUUCUGAGGGAUGAGAAAGGACAGUAUCUCAGGAAUAAGUCUCGGCUAACUACGUGCCAGCAGCCGCGGUAAAACGUAGGAG
rnacentral:rRNA from 1 species